GGGGCUGGGGCUCAGUGGAAGAGCGCUCGCCUGGCACGUGUGAGGCGCCGGGUUCGAUCCUCAGCACCA
rnacentral:tRNA from 1 species